ACGGUGUCACGAACGCGACAUCGAAGGUGAAAUUCUUUUCGCGUUCAACUAAUCCCCCUAUGUCAUUCGAUGAUAAUCCCUUGCUUACUUUGGUAAUGGUUUGGCUACUGCACAUAGACUAUUGUUGCUCUGAAUGUUGCACGGCGUUUUCUUCGAAGAAGACUGGGUUGAUUCGGCUACAGCCUUUAAAUGCAGCUAACCCUUGGUGCUUCUCCAGUAGUCCAGCGCAUGUGCUUCAGUUAUUUGUACAAGAACUUUUUUGUUGGCUGUUGUACUCAUGCCAGUUGUAGAUUGACCAUGCAGAGUAGUGAAUAGCGAGGAUGGCUGAUACUAUAAUUUUCUCGCCAUUUGGUUGCUCAUAGGCUCUCAAGAAUCGAGGAUAUUCUUUUCAGGCAUCAAAUCAUGUCUGUCCUAUGUAGGGAAAGAAGACCUGGGUAAUGCCUUGCUAUGCCCAUAUGAGAUUACGAGCACACUGAAUUUAAGCUUUCUUCUACCUUUGAUCAUGUUCUAACUACUAGCAUGGAGGAAGAAGAUGUACAAUUCAAGCAGGUACUGACCCAUUCCUUUUUCUCUAAACCUGACUUCAGUCAGCAAGUUGGUUAAUUCAGCGCCAAGUUACUAAUAAAAUCCAUUUUUGCUUUGUGGUGACUAUCAUCCCUUGUACGUUUGUUCCUUUGGUCUUGCACGUUUUAGUAUAUACAUAUGUUUUUGUUUUGCUUUUUUUGUCCCAAUUAACAAGAACAAAACAUGUGUUGGCUUUCAGUUCUAUCUUUUUAUAGAUAAAUAUAGAUAAAAGUGUCACAUCGUAUUACCGUAAUUGAAUUCAUUUUUAUAUGCUUCUACCUUUUUUAGCUUAGUAUAAUCAAAGGAUAUGCAACAUAAAGUAGGCCUCAGUUUAAAUUUGAGCUUGAAUUACCUGUAUGAUUCGCAUGUGGAAUAAUGGGUCACCAAUGCACAAGUUUGCUGGUUGACGUCCUGCCCUGUUCUACAACAUGGACUCCUGCCCAGUUCUACAGUAUGGACUCCUUCUAGACCGCCAAUAACCCCGUCCGCACCCAGGCAUCAGCAAGACAACACAACAAUUGGAUGGAAUCUAUGCACUCUUUGCAGCAUUGAGGCUUGCUGUUGUUGAUACAAAAGCAGGUUUUCCACAAUUUCUUGUAUCCAUGUGCCUUUUUUGUAUGCUUACUAGCACAUUUUGCCUUAAAUAUAGUUUGAUGAAUAUGUAGAUGGUGCCAUUCUGAAGGAGGAACUGUGGACAUUGAUUGCUCAAAAUGAACCCUCAUUAAUCUCUUUACAUUUGGUAAUUCUGUUGUUCUGAGUUUUCCACUAAGAAUACUUUAUCAUCCCACAAAAUGACACGAAAGUGCAUGUAUGGAUGUACUUCAGCAUCUCAUCACCUUUUUAUUUAUUAUUUAGAUCUUGAUGAGCUACUUAUGGAAUAUACAUUUAUGUAAACUGUGUUUGGAGAAAUAAUUCUUAGUGGUUACA
rnacentral:lncRNA from 1 species